GACAGAGGAUGCAAGCGUUAUCCGGAAUGAUUGGGCGUAAAGCGUCUGUAGGUGGCUUUUUAAGUCCGCCGUCAAAUCCCAGGGCUCAACCCUGGACAGGCGGUGGAAACUACCAAGCUGGAGUACGGUAGGGGCAGAUGGAAUUCCGGGUGUAGCGGUGGAAUGCGUAGAGAUCCGGAAGAACACCGGUGGCGAAGGCGGUCUGCUGGGCAGUAGCUGACACUGAGGAGCGAAAGCGUGGGGAGCGAACAGG
rnacentral:rRNA from 1 species